AUAGGAUUUUGAAGCACUUACACCAAAUUUACUAGCUCGCACCAUUGAAACUGUUGAGGGUGGAGGGCUUAUAUGUGUUUUACUGCAAAAUGUUGACUCACUUAAAAAACUCUACACUAUGACCAUGGAUGUGCAUUCCAGAUAUAGAACAGAAUCUCAUCAAGAUGUAGUUGGUCGAUUCAACGAGCGGUUUAUUUUAUCUCUUUCUUCAUGCAAGAAUUGCUUAGUAAUAGAUGAUAGUUUACGCAUUUUACCAAUUUCAUCACAAUCUUCAAAUAUAACAGCUAUGCCACCAAAAACCAA
rnacentral:lncRNA from 1 species